rnacentral:misc_RNA from 1 species
GUGAAUCAUCAAAUUUUUGAACGCAAAUUGCACUCUCUGGUAUUCCGGAGAGUAUGCCUGUUUGAGGGUCAGUUGAAAUAAAAAGCGGUGUGGGGGCUGCCUUGCGUUUUGACGCACCGGAUGGGGGUAGACUUGCCUUCGGUUAAGUGACAUAAGAUUUUGCAUGAUUUUUGUCGAACGUAUUUAAAUGAUUGUACGUACGUUUGCGAGAUCGAAUACUAGGAGGGGUAAUUCUCAAGA